CUGAUAGACCUAGAGACUGAAGUCCUCCAUUUACCCAAAAGAGUGGUAUAGCACACGCAGUGGUAGCAGAAGUUUCUCUAUCACUGGCCUCCAACAUAUCUUAACCCUGACCCAGAGGGAAUCCAGGAGAGAUCAGUCCUCAUGACCAUUGGCCUCUCUGUUGAG
ensembl:misc_RNA